CUCUUCCCACUGCGCAGGAAGCGAGACGCGCAAAAGAAUCAGAAGUUAAACGCAAAGGUAACGCGGCACUCUCAACAGCAGCAGCCGUUUUUACUGUAACCGCUCGGAGUUUCCCCGCGAAUGCAAGAGGAACCCGGCGUCUAGAGCAGAAUGAAUGGUUAUCAAGGCGCCAGAAACAGAGCGAGGGAAGCUGUUAAUGCUGGGAGUCUUUUAAACCCUGGUUCUUCUGGUGACUUGACAGAGCUCAACCAUGGAAGUCAGACUGCUACAGGCCGAAGACGACUAAUAAAGGUCCAGACAUGAAGGAGACAGCGUCUUGUCUGUGGCAUCUCACAAUGAGAAGAGCUUUCAGCGUGUCGUGAGUUUCCAAGGUUGGUUCAGCAGAUACAUUGGAUGAGGUCAGAGGCUAAAUCCCUCCUGUGCGGCUGACCCUCUCCUGUACAACAGCAAAAGGCCACGUGUGCCAUCUAAGACUUGCUUGUGGAUACUGAAUAUAAUCUUUUUUUUAUUAGCAAGACUUUGUUUGAUUUAGAGUGUUUUGUUUAUGGGAUAUAAGCCAUCAAAAUCAAUGAACACUUUUACUUUUAUUUGUAUGUUAAUUGUAUUUUUAACUAUUUUUAUGAGUUUAACAACUUCUGUAUUGUAUUUUUAACUAAAAAAAAAGAAUGUUCAUCUGAAAGUAAUGCAGAACGUGUUAGGCUAUGAUAUUAUUGGUUAAAUUUUUGCCCCACCCACAUGGCCUUGGUGACUUCAGCAACAAAAAAAAAAGCUUUUUGAAAUAAAAUCUCAAUAAAAAAAAUAAAAAAAAAUGGAUUGGUGCGCACUGAUGAUAAAAUGCACAAUAAGACAAGGGGCAAUCAUUGAAAAGGUAAAUUUUGUUUUUAUGUUGUGUUUAAAGGAAUUCCAAACCAUCAAAAGGUCAUAUAAGUUUGAGAGCAGAAUUCAAUAUGUUGUAUUUUUGGAGUAGGUGACCUGUGCUAUGUCCUUUCAGCAUUGAGAGGUGGGAUGCACCCGCCCGCUGCUUGCCUUGUCUCCACAGCGACCUCUGCGCAGACUGUCAAGUCGACUCACCAUCAGGCCAUGUUUGCCUCAGUGAACAUUCAACGCUGUCGGUGAGUUUGAGCUAAAUAGAAAAAAACCAUCGACCGUUGAUUGUACCCUGCGGCCGAGCCCUACCGAGCCUUGCCUCUCCCCACCACCGACAAAAGAGGAAUUUUAGCAUGGACUCCUGGAGACACGACGGCUCUGUCUUCCAACGCUGCCGGCAGCCUCGGACGACGCCUGAAAAGUUUGACUUUGAAAACUACAACAAAGGUCACAAUCAACAUUCAUUGCUGUCGGUGGGUUGGACUGUAAAAGAAAGCUCACUGAACAAUGAAUGCAACUGUGUCCCAGAUUUCCUUCUCGCAAAGUGGCAUCAGAGAUAAAUAUUAACUGACAGAGCUGGAUAUACUCAUUUGCUCGCUUCUCUGAGUUUGUUUGUGGCUCUUCGUGGCAAAGAUGCAAGUGGACUGAGAACACCAUGUCAAAGGCCCCUUUAAGGCUGAUGAAUGUUUCCUUUGUAUAAUAAAUAAAGACAAGACCUCUCCAAAACCA